rnacentral:rRNA from 1 species
CACGUAGGGCGCAAGCGUUGUCCGGAAUUAUUGGGCGUAAAGAGCUCGUAGGCGGUCUGUUGCGUCCGCUGUGAAAACUCGGGGCUUAACCCCGAGCCUGCAGUGGAUACGGGCAGACUAGAGGUAGGUAGGGGAGAAUGGAAUUCCUGGUGUAGCGGUGAAAUGCGCAGAUAUCGAGAGGAACACCUGCGGCGAAGGCGGGUAGCUGGGCCGACACUGACGCUGAGGCGCGAAAG